UUGCUCUCUGAGCGUUAACUACAUCCAUCUACACCUGUGAACUGUUGAUCAACUUCGGUUGAUUGCUUUUACAAACAUUGUGUAAUGAACGUCAUGUUAUUAUAACAAAAAUAACUUUCAACAACGGAUCUCUUGGCUCUCGCAUCGAUGAAGAACGCAGCGAAAUGCGAUAAGUAAUGUGAAUUGCAGAAUUCAGUGAAUCAUCGAAUCUUUGAACGCACCUUGCGCUCUCUGGUAUUCCGGAGAGCAUGCCUGUUUGAGUAUCAUGAAAUCUCAACCAUUAGGGUUUCUUAAUGGCUUGGAUUUGGGUGUUGCCAGUAGCCUGGCUCGCCUUAAAAGAGUUAGCGUGUUUAACUUGUCGUAUCUGGCGUAAUAAGUUUCGCUGGUGUUGACUUGAGAAGUGCGCUUCUAAUCGUCUUCGGACAAUUCUUGAACUCUGGUCUCAAAUCAGGUAGGACUACCCGCUGAACUUAAGCAUAUCAAUA
rnacentral:rRNA from 1 species